rnacentral:lncRNA from 1 species
AACUGAGGUCAGCGAGAAUAAGACUUUCGCCGACUAACACUAAAUAUUCGUUUCGCUUAUCACAAGUUGGGGUUAACACGAUGAUUAUACUCAAUAAUAUUUUAAUACUUUGAAAUUUUCACAAAUUUAGUUUUGGUAUACGAAAUCGACGGAGUAGCAGUGAGUAGUGAUGAUGAAAGGAACUCAACUGUUAAAGAAACAAAGCUAAAGGAAAGCAAUUAGCUAGAGCCACAGAUCUACACUUUGUUUACUCGUUUUCAACUUACAUCAACUUAUACUGCAAGGCACACAAGUCAUAAUUACGUUACGAUCAUAUCCACAUUGCUUGACCACAAAGUUUGAUUUUGUUUUCCUUUUUAAUAACAAUUCUUGUGGGUGCUAUGUUA